rnacentral:lncRNA from 1 species
CAAGCAGUGCAAGGGCAUCGUGGACUGCAUCGUCCGCAUCCCCAAAGAUCAGGGCGUGCUGUCCUUCUGGAGGGGCAACCUGGCCAAUGUCAUCCGCUACUCCCCCACGCAAGCCCUCAAUUUCGCCUUCAAGGAUAAGUACAAGCAGAUCUUCCUGGCGGGCGUGGACAAGCACACGCAGUUCUGCAGGUACUUUGCGGGCAACCUGGCCUCCGGCC